GACGGAGGAUGCAAGCGUUAUCCGGAAUGAUUGGGCGUAAAGCGUCUGCAGGUGGCAGUUCAAGUCUGCUGUCAAAGACCGGGGCUUAACUUCGGAAAGGCAGUGGAAACUGAACAGCUAGAGUAUGGUAGGGGCAGAGGGAAUUCCUGGUGUAGCGGUGAAAUGCGUAGAGAUCAGGAAGAACAUCAGUGGCGAAGGCGCUCUGCUGGACCAUAACUGACACUCAGGGACGAAAGCUAGGGGAGCGAAUGGG
rnacentral:rRNA from 1 species